AGCUUUGUGCAGUGGCAGUAAGGUAGCCAAUGAGGUUUAUUUGAGGCGCAAUUAUUGCUAAUUGAAACAGAUUCGUAGUGCACAGAGAGUGGGAUUUGUAGUUAACUACAUCUAGAUUUUUAACUCCCCACCCCACUGUUUACCAGUUGGAUAAACUUGGG
rfam:Gorilla gorilla gorilla genomic chromosome, chr7, whole genome shotgun sequence